AUUGAACGCUGGCGGCAUGCCUUACGCAUGCAAGUCGAACGGCAGCAUGAUCUAGCUUGCUAGAUUGAUGGCGAGUGGCGAACGGGUGAGUAAUACAUCGGAACGUGCCCUGUAGUGGGGGAUAACUAGUCGAAAGAUUAGCUAAUACCGCAUACGACCUGAGGGUGAAAGUGGGGGACCGCAAGGCCUCAUGCUAUAGGAGCGGCCGAUGUCUGAUUAGCUAGUUGGUGAGGUAAAGGCUCACCAAGGCGACGAUCAGUAGCUGGUCUGAGAGGACGAUCAGCCACACUGGGACUGAGACACGGCCCAGACUCCUACGGGAGGCAGCAGUGGGGAAUUUUGGACAAUGGGCGAAAGCCUGAUCCAGCAAUGCCGCGUGUGUGAAGAAGGCCUUCGGGUUGUAAAGCACUUUUGUCCGGAAAGAAAUGGCUCUGGUUAAUACCUGGGGUCGAUGACGGUACCGGAAGAAUAAGGACCGGCUAACUACGUG
rnacentral:rRNA from 1 species